AACGAACACUGGCGGCAGGCCUAACACAUGCAAGUCGAACGAGGUGCGUCUUUCGGGAUGUUACCUAGUGGCGGACGGGUGCGUAACACGUGGGAAUCUACCUUAUAGUGGGGGAUAACUUCUGGAAACGGGAGCUAAUACCGCAUACGCCCUUCGGGGGAAAGAUUUAUCGCUAUAAGAUGAGCCCGCGGUGGAUUAGGUAGUUGGUGAGGUAAAGGCUCACCAAGCCGAUGAUCUAUAGCUGGUUUGAGAGGAUGACCAGCCACACUGGGACUGAGACACGGCCCAG
rnacentral:rRNA from 1 species